rnacentral:rRNA from 1 species
UGGGGGAUAUUGCACAAUGGGCGAAAGCCUGAUGCAGCGACGCCGCGUGGGGGAUGAAGGCUUUCGGGUUGUAAACCUCUUUCGCUAUCGAACAAGGCCCGCUUAGGGUGGGUUGAGGGUAGGUGGAGAAGAAGCGCCGGCUAACUACGUGCCAGCAGCCGCGGUAAUACGUAGGGCGCGAGCGUUGUCCGGAAUUUUUGGGCGUAAAGGGCUUGUAGGCGGCUUGUUGCGCCUGCUGUGAAAACGCGGGGCUUAACUUCGCGCGUGCAGUGGGUACGGGCAGGCUUGAGUGUGGUAGGGGUGACUGGAAUUCCAGGUGUAGCGGUGGAAUGCGCAGAUAUCUGGAGGAACACCGAUGGCGAAGGCAGGUCACUGGGCCAUUACUGACGCUGAGGAGCGAAAGCAUGGGUAGCGAACAGG